CGUACGUGCGGGCGCGACGAGGUGGCGGCCCCCCGGCGUCGCAUUCCUAACCCUGCACUGAAUGGUGCAGGCAGAAGAGCAAAUCCAGUGUGUGGUCUGCUGGUACAAGGCCUGGAGCCCCGAGUGUCGACAGCAGCUGCUGGAUUUUCUCGUGCUUCAGGCUGUCCCAGACAGUGUUGAUUCUCUCCUUCAGGGUGUCAGCCAGCUCGGAGUCUCCUCUGAGCACUCCACGUUCCAGUGCCAGCUACGCCUGCUAGCACACUGGUUCAGCCAGUGGAGCGACACCGCCCGCAACCGGCUGCUCCAGCUGCUGGACAUCGCCGACGCGCAGUUUAUGCCGCAGUUCCGCGCGCGCACGACACGAUGACGUCACAC